GGCCAGUAUACCCACGUCACUUGUGGGCAGCCUACACCGGACCUGAAGGCAACGGACAAUGGGCUUGGCAAACCUGACUUUGCGGAGGCUUCACGGGAACGGCGGUCCAGCUACCUUCCAACUCCACAUCGAGCUUAUGCAGAGAAAAGGAUGCUCACCGAGGUUUGAUGGAUGCGGGCAGGCCUGCAGGAAAACAGGAGCUCUGAGCAAGUCAUCUCUCAGGCUUCCUUCUCAUGCUCACUACUCCCGCCUUAGCUCCAGAGGACCUCGAACCCCCGCCCCGCCCCCUCCCGUACACAGUACACGGCAUCCUGGACCAAAUAUCUGGACUAUAGACUGUUGCUCGCUCCUCGCAGCAUUCGAGGUUUCUCCAUCUUAGUGACAUUUUUGGAAAUUUCAACGGUGCCACCCAAUCA
rnacentral:lncRNA from 1 species